ACUGGCACAUGUCUACAAUAUUCUCCUUAAUUUGUUUUGGCUGCAUACUCUUGGGUCUCUUUGUAAUUUGGCAGUUGUCUAAUACUGCUUUUUUUCUUUCUUUCUUUGAGACAGGAUCUUGCUCAGUCUCCCAGGGUGGAGUGCAGUGGUGCAAUCCCAGCUCAGUCACUGCAGCCUUGACCUCCCAGAAUCAAGCAGUCCUCCUGCCUCAGCCUCCAGAAUAGCUGGGACUAUAGGCUCAUGUCACCAUGCCUGGCUAAUUAUUUUAUUUUUAUUUUUUGUAGAGACGGGGUCUCACUGUCUUCCCAGGCUGAUCUCAAACUCCUGGCCUCAAGAAAUCCUCACACCUCAGCUUCCCAAAGUGCUGGGAUUACAGGUGUGAACCACCACAUGUGGCCUAAUAUUGCUUAUUAAAAGAAUAGAAAGAUAAUAAGUUCUGGUCUGUAGCAUUAGUUAUUGAAUUGUUACAAGUUGUUAUUAUUACUAUUGAGAGUUUUGAAAAGUUUAUUUCGGCUUCACAGUUCUAUAUCCACGAUGCUGCAUCUGUACCUUUCUUGGCAGUUCCUUGCUUGGGUGAAUCUCUUGCUGGGAGAAGUCCUCAGAAAAUUCAGGCCGUUGUUUUUUCUUGGGCCCUGACACUUGCUGCUUCUUGCAGUUCCAUCUCUGCAUGAUCCUUUUUGCUGCUACAUUUUCAGAGUUUGCGGAGAGGCUGAGCGUCGGCUGAGAUGGCCAUGAAACUUUAUUGUGAUAUUGAUUUUUCUGUAGUGAUCUGGAACUGAACUUGCAAUAUUUGCAAGAUAUAUAAAUCUCAGGAUUCUA
rnacentral:lncRNA from 1 species